CACAUGAACCACAAAAUGGAACUCUGUCCAUUCCAGCAGAAUAACCGUGUCCAUCAUAUAAACAGUUCCUGGAGUACAGAAGCUCAAAGACAGAAGAACGACAGUCCUGUAACUGUGGGCUGAAAGGAAGAUAUCGGCCAAAACAAGGAAGGAAACGUGUCCAGAUAAACAUAAAAUUGAUGGUGCCACAUGGAACUGAUUUAAAAGCUCUAAGAGGGAAAACACUCCCGUUAUUUACAGACCCGGAGGUAGCAGCACCUGAUCUACUGAAACAAGCUGUCCAGAAAAUGCGAAAUUUCAACAAGGACAUGCGAGAUGGACUGUAUAUUCUUUUCUCUAGACUGCUCAGAGGUGAUCCAUGUGCCUGGGUCAGAAAGGCCAUUCAAACUGGCAGAAUAUAAAAAUGAAACAGGAAAAGCAUAUUCCAGGAUUACUUUUUCAUUUGCAUAGAAAGACACUUUAAAGGAGUGGAUGAUACGUCAGACUCUGAUUCUGAGAUUGUCAUCACAUCAAGGAGCACAGGUUUUUGAACCACAAAACCAAAGUACUCCCCAACACAAACCUGAUGAUGAAAGAUAGUAAGAUCUGAUACUGAGGAUCUGGAUCCACCUGAAACAAAUCCAGACAAGACUUCUUGCUACAGGG